AAGACAAGGACUUAGGUCCUUGCAGUUGAUGGAUGAGAAGAUCUGGGACACACAUGAGGGAUGGGAAGUGACACAGAGAGGAGUGGAAGCAAUGUGAGAGCCUCUUACUGAGCUGCCACUGUGGGGACCUGAGCCGCUGCCUCCCUGGGGCUGCUGGCAGCAUCCUCAGGUGUUCUGCCUUGAGGCUUGGAAUCUGGAACCUGGAAUCCUCAGCUCCAGCUUUCCUGUGGUUAGGAACUGCUCCGGCGCAUUAACUCCCACCCCUUCUUGUGUCUUUUAUUGCACAGCUGUCAAGCUGGCUUCUACUGGCUUCUGCUGCCUAGAGGGGCUUUGAGGCAAAAUGCCAGACACCUGCUAGUGUGGGCAGCUACCAGGGCAAAGGCGGAUCUGAAUUUGCAGGAGCUCUUCUCUUGUGACUGAAAGUUGAGUUUUCUUUAAGCUCACAUUUUUGUCCAUGAUCACUGGCUCCAAGUGGAAGGGCCUGGGUGGAGGACAGCUGCUCAUCCCAUGGCAACCAGGAAGCAGAAAGAAAAGGAGGAACUGGGGAGGGAGAGACAGCCUUCCAGGACACCUCCCCAGUGAUCCACUGAAUGCUUCAAUUGAUGAACCCACUGGUAAGUACAGCACCCCCAUGAUCCAGACACUGGCCCAAAGCCCCAUCUCUGAACACAUGAGACUUUAGGAGGAUUUCUAGAUCUACACCAGGACACUUGGCCCUUGAAACUUGGUCUCACCACUACCACAACUGGUCCCCAAACCAUCAUCAAUAUUUUCUGUCUCCUUCUUCACACCCAUGUAGAUUUUCCCUAUCUUUGGUUAGAAAUUGAGCUUAUUUAACUUGCUUACGUGGUGGGGUAAUCUAGACUUUUAGCCCUGAAGGGUUUGAAUUUGGGGUUUUCUUGGCAUUGUCUGGCCACAGUUGCUGAGAUUCCUUACUGUUCAUUUCCUUAUAGCACAGAAACAUCAUAAUCACAAACAUCACAAGUGCUAGUGACUCUAAUGCUUCGUGACAGUUCAGGUUGGUUAAUCACCUGGAGUUAUAACCCAUUUACUUGUUGGCUGGUCUGCAAGCAUGAAGAGCUCAAGUUCACCAAGUGGCAGUAGUUGCUUUAGGUGCAGCAGAAUACUUUGUGUAUGCCCUGGUAUUGAUUUUCUUCUCCUUGGAACCAGAGCACUUGUGUCUCCAAGCUUGGCACUGGGAGUCCUGGAAGCAGGAACUCUGCAGGUGGUCACUGGGCAUGGUGACUAGAGAAGGUGGUGAUGCUUUUCUGCCUUAUUUCCAGGCUCACACAUAUAUUCCGGCACCAUGUAGUGACCAUUGCUUGAAUGUGUGUACCACUUCCUGGGGAUGGAGUCCAAACCUUUGAGCGUCACACCUGAGGAGGUGCAUUGCAGCUAGAAAGUAAUGCCAGUGCUUUCCAGAGUCUUGUCUGCAGUGUCACAGCAAGGGAUUACAGGAUUUGGGUCAGAGCAACCAGUAUAGAAAACUGCUCUGCUCAUUUAUCUCUCUAAAAUCAUUCAAUACUCUCUUCCCCCAAAUCUUUCUUGUCAAUUUUAAAAACUCUUUCCAAAAUAACCCCCAAACUAGUUCUGCCCCCCUGAGCUUUAUCUUUAAAUUCUUUUAUCUAUCCUUUCCUUUAGCUCUUGAUUUUAAUAGACUUUUUGUGGAUAUACUUUCCAAUAAAAGUAUUUUUCUGUAUUUUUAAAUAAAAAUUACUUUAGGCUUAUGGCUCCUUCCAAACCUCAAUGCAAUCUCUCCCCCCAGCCAGCAUGAAAGAAGACCUGGGGAUUCUCCAACUCCAUCCAUGAAUGAGCCAUAUUUGGAGGAGGAAGGAAGAAUCACAGAGGACAGUUGCUCAUAAACAUGCUUGUUCUUGGUGCACCCACUUAGAUCAAAAGCUCUCCAGUGUACAGUGACUCCUUAGGUAUUUCUGACUCCUCUCCCUUCCUGAGGAGGCACCGCUGCCC
ensembl:lncRNA